rnacentral:snRNA from 1 species
GUGUUCGGUUUGGUAGCACAUAGACUAAAUAAAGUUGGAACAAUACAGAGAAGACAGACUUGGCCUCUGAGCAAGACCCUCAAGUUAUUAAAUUU